GCUGUGAAAAAUUGUCAUUAUUGUUUAACCUUUUGAUCUUUUGUUAAAGAAAAUCACAAAAAUACUCUGCUGUCAUGGACAUCAAACAAUUUCAAACACAACACGGGUUUAUAAAAAAAACACUCUUUGUUAAAUAUAGGUGUUGAACAAUUAUUGGCACCCUUUUAGUCAAUACUUUGUGCUACCUCCCUUUGCCAAGAUAACAGCUCUGAGUCUUCUCCUAUAACGCCUGAUGAGGUUGGAGAAUACAUGGCGAGGGAUCUGAGAGCGUUCCUCCAUACAGAAUCUCUCCAGAUCCUUCAGAUUUCGAGGUCCAUGCUGGUGGACUCUCCUCUUCAGUUCACCCCACAGGUUUUCUAUGGGGUUCAGGUCAGGGGACUGGGAUGGUCAUGGCAGGACCUUGAUUUUGUGGUCAGUAAACCAUUUUUGUGUUGAUUCUGAUGUAUGUUUUGGAUCAUUGUCCUGCUGGAAGAGCCAACCACGGCCCAUUUGAAGCUUUCUGGCAGAGGCAGUCAGGUUUUCAUUUAAUAUCUGUUGAUAUCUUUUUGAUUUUUUUUUUUUUUUAAAAGGUGAGGUUAAAAAAAAUAUUAAAUAUUUUCUUUGUAAAUCAUGAAACUUUAUAUAAAAAAGUGUCGCAUAUUUUCACGUCACUACCGAAACAAUAUAUAUUUCAGUCCAUUGGCUGAGACUGAUUUUAACCACAUUUUUGAUCAGGAAAUAUACCCCUCUCUCUCAUAGCUACAUGAUGAGUACAUAGGUCCUAUCAAUUUUAUGGAUAAAAUUAUAUAUAUAUAUAUAUAUUAAGCUUACUGAUAUUUUACAUAUUAUUCUGGGUUUCUAGAAGGAUCUUAGUAAACAUCUAAGUUUUGAAUACUUAAAUGCUUUUUAAACGUGUUUUUUGGUUGUAGUGCAGCAGUUUGCACCAGUUCUGUAGAAUUGGUAGAAGAAUCUUCGUAAACAUCCACCUUUUCACCACGAUGAUGUAAACUGCAUGAAAAGCAAUGUCCCGAUCGUUACGCGUUCAGAACACUCGCAUAUUUGUUUGGUGAAACGUCACUUUUCUGGCUUCUUUAACAGGACCGUUUCUGAGUUUUAUCCUUUCAUUUAACUGAAACUAAUCCCAGGGAACGUUGCAUAAUACAGCCAUGACACACGACAGAAUGAUCCAAAAUACAAAACGGGGGAAUUUGGCAAGAACAUCAUUACAUUUACAUUUACAUUUAUUCAUUUAGCAGACGCUUUUAUCCAAAGCGACUUACAAAUGAGAAAAUACAAGCAAAGAGAUAUAUCAAGCAGAGAACAAUACAAGUAGUGCUACCGUACAAGAUCUGUUAACUGAGUUCCAGAAGAAACAACAUGCGCAGAGUAGAUGUGUAAGUGCCAGAGUAAUUUUUUUUUUUUUUUUUUUUAUGGGUUGGUUAGGUGUUCAGGGAAGAGGUGGGUCUUUAGCUGUUUUUUGAAGAUAGAGAGAGAUUCUGCGGUCCGGAUUGAGGUUGGAAGUUCAUUCCACCACUGAGGAACAGUUAGUGUGAAGGUUCUGGAACGGGACCUUGCGCCACACUGAGUAGGAACUACUAAGCGUCGGUCGUUAACCGAUCGCAGAUUGCGUGAGGGAACGUAAGCCUUCAGGAGAGAGUUGAGGUAGGAGGGCGCUGUUCCAGACAAGGUCUUGUAGGUGAGCAUCAAGGCCUUGAAUUUGAUACGGGAGGCUACAGGAAAUCAGCGGAGAGAGAUGAAGAUGGGUGUGACUUGGGUUCUCUUGGUCUGGUUGAAGACGAGGCGUGCUGCUGCAUUCUGAAUCAUCUGAAGGGGUUUGAUGGAGCUGACCGGGAGGCCCGAGAGUAGUGAGUUGCAAUAGUCCAGUUUUGAGAUAACAAGAGCCUGGACUAGUAUCUGUGUAGCCAACAUCAAAGAACAUCGUUAUCACCUAUGAUAAAAAAAAUAGGUUGUGCUUAUGCAUAUGCAUGUGCUCGUCUUUUUAUUGUGUGUAUCUCUGCGAGAACAAAAAACUUCGAUGUCUUCUAUACAUAAGGCUUACAAACUUUUUUAAGGCAGAGCUCCACCCAAUGAAAUGGUGGCCUUUCCAGCAGGCAGAAGCCCAGAACUCAGCCAAAUAAAAGGGAAGCUUGUUUGGUGACUGAACUUCUCAUCUCUGUGACAUUUUUUUUUUGUUUUGAGACACGAGAAGCCUCACGAUUCCCUCAAAUGUGCAGAUAAACUGUGUAUCAUUUCUGUAUCUCAGUCUCUCCAGGGUACAAAAGAUCUUUGCACUGCUUUUACGUGAACUCCACCUAACAUUUCCCAUCGUCCUACAAAGUUCCAUGACAUCAAUGUUAAGAGUUCUUUAUUGCUUGGAAAUUGGACGUUUUGCCAAAAUUCCUGAAGACCGGAGACAAGUCGAGUCGGGAAACGGGACUGAUUAGAAACACAGCAGAGACGGUGGCUUCCGCGUGCGUCUGCUCUCGCUAGAGAGAGAGAGAACUGAUUUUCAGUGUGUAGUAAUUUCACAGUGUCUCAGUACUUGAACAUGAAUACACACCUUAUAUACUCACAAACAAAGCAAUGUAGACCACAUCACUUUUAAAUUCUUGAUUUUGAUUGGUCAGAACGUCAGUGGGUCAUACUUAGCCAUUUGUGUAGUAAGAGCUUAUACAAGGACAUCAAAUCUAGAGUCACUCUAAUUGAGGGUCAGAGAAAGUAUACCAUGUAGAAAAAAGUCUGUGUUGGAAUAUAAGCUGCUAUAAAUGUUCAUAAAAGUCUUAUGUAGGUGUCAUUUCGAACAAGAGAUGUUAUUAAAUGUUCAUAAAGGGCUUAUGUAGGUGUCAUGUUGGAACAAGAGAUGUUAUUAAAUGUUUAUAAAACGCAUAUGUAGUCAUGCUGGAACAAGCGAUAUUAAAUGUUUCUAAAGGGCUUAUGUAGGUGUCAUGUUGCAACAAGAGAUGUUAUUAAAUGUUUAUAAAGGGCUUAUGUAGGUGUCAUGUUGGAACAAGAGGUGUUAUUAAAUGUUCAUAAAGGGCUUAUGUAAGUGUCAUGUUGGAACAAGAGAUGUUAUUAAAUGUUUAUAAAGGGCUUAUGUAGGUGUCAUGUUGGAACAAGAGGUGUUAUUAAAUGUUCAUAAAGGGCUUAUGUAAGUGUCAUGUUGGAACAAGAGAUGUUAUUAAAUGUUUAUAAAGGGCUUAUGUAGGUGUCAUGUUGGAACAAGAGGUGUUAUUAAAUGUUCAUAAAGGGCUUAUGUAAGUGUCAUGUUGGAACAAGAGAUGUUAUUAAAUGUUUAUAAAAUGCAUAUGUAGUCAUGCUGGAACAAAAGAUGUUAUUAAAUGUUUAUAAAAUGCAUAUGUAGUGUCAUGUUGGAACAAGAGAUGUUAUUAAAUGUUUAUAAAACGCAUAUGUAGUCAUGCUGGAACAAAAGAUGUUAUUAAAUGUUUAUAAAGGGCUUAUGUAGGUGUCAUGUUGGAACAAGAGAUGUUAUUAAAUGUUUAUAAAGGGCUUAUGUAGGUGUCAUGUUGGAACAAGAGGAGUUAUUAAAUGUUUAUAAAGGG